rnacentral:lncRNA from 1 species
CGGGGUCAAAAACUAUUUGAGAGAAAAGCGCGCGGAGUCACGCGGACCACGCGGGACAAACAAAAUAGCAGAAGUUACGCGAAGCAGCCUCCACGUGCCAAGAGACCCCACACUCGGCCACUCCCCACGACUUCUUCCAUCUGUAGCCGACCCAGCCGCCGCACUCGUCGCCGUGAACACCGCCGCUUCCCCAUCCCCGCAUCCACACAGCCCCGCCAGGGCUGCUGCUCCAUUCCCCAUCACCACGCCACCGCACCCGCUUCCUCCAUCCACGCCGAUUGAGACAGAGAGAGGGGGGACAGGGUCGUGGAGCGCCGCCACACGCCUGGAUCUGGGUGCUACUGUGCGCAUCCUUGCCCGAUCUGGACGCCUCCGCGCGCGUCCGUGCCCGAUCUGGACGCCUCCGCGCGCGUACAUGCCGCAUCUGGCCGCCACGAUUGAGGAUUGGUGGAGGAGCACGGGAAACGGCUUGGUUGUGGAGCAGGGGAAGGGAGCACGGGGCGGCGCCGUUGUGGCUGGAGCAGGGCUUCACUUCGAGGGUGGCGGACACGGCUGCAUCGUGUAGGUGGUGGAGAAGGACGACCGUGCGCCCCGGCGUCCUUUGUGUGGUGGCAGUCAUGCGCAGUGCCACGUCGAGACUGGAUGAAGCACGGGCGACCGUUGUGUCUAGGAGGUGAGCUUCUCAUCCUCGAUCUCGAGAAGAAUUAUAGUGACUCAUGACGAAACAUAGCAGCGUAGGAGGCAGCAAUGGAGCAAAGGAGGCAGAGGUGAGGAAGGGCAGCCAGGACCCCCUCCCCCUGUCUCUGAAUCCUCUAAUCCUUUCCUCAAUUCCUGACAUACUGAGUAGUUAAUUUUGUAUGGUUGGCUGCUGAACCCGUUAUUGCAUUAUGUGCAUCGAGCAACAUUAAAUUUAUCUCUUUCCUGGCAAAUUCGGAAUUGGAUCAUUUGUUCAACAAUAUACUUCUGAUUUUUCCAUAAUUAUGGCUCAAAAUGUCAUGCAGUCUAAUUUGGUUACCUAUUUUGUUUUCUUGAAGCUUAUAGAUGUAGGCGCUCGUAGGUGCUAAAUCUUCACAUUUAAAGAUUCUGGAUAGAUCCUCUUAUCUGUUUUUGCUGUUUUACAACAUAAACAUCUACAGAUAUGGAAAUUGCAGCACCGUGCAGCUACAGUCCUGCAGCAGGUUGACGGGCGAAUGGUCAUAGUGGGAAGACAACGGGCAUGUCGACUGCUGCGAGUAUUCCAUUCUCGUAGACAACUACAUUUGCAUGAUGAGCAAGAGGUGUGUUGUUUUCCUGGAGAAAAUUUUGAGAAAAUCAUCAAUUUGUUUAGCUUUAUUUAAAUCUGUUUGUUGAUCUGAGAUUUUGUACUGUACUCUUCUGGGAGCAAUAUGUAGCAAACGGUUCGAAAUUAGAAACUUCUUUACAUUUUAAGGAAUAAUCCAUCUUACCCCUUCGAAAAAGUAGAAGGAAACCCUUCGAAAAAGUAGAAGGAAUAAUCCAUUUUAAUAUGUUCCUUUAUAUAUGCGGAGAACUUCUUAGUACUAGUUCGUAUGUCAAGAUGUUAUUAGGAUACUAAAUAAUGGUGCUCUUUCUAAUAAUCAGGCAGACUGUACCAUUGUCUAUUUAUGUGUGCGCAUAUUUUUGGUAGUAUAUUGAACAAUUGUCCUUGAAAAGUUGAAAUAAUUGACAGAUCCACAGAAGUGAAAGCUGCGGCGAUGUCGUUCGUACUCCAUAUCACUUAGAGAGGACACUAGGAGUGGAAUGGCCAUCACUUAUUAUAGUAGUUUUCUGAAAAAAUAACCUCCUUUUAUGGAGUAACUUUAAUUUGGCCAUUGAGAAUUUGAGAAGUAAUUUUCAGGAUAAGAGCAUCUUUUAUCUUGCAUAAAGAUUGCAUCCUUAUCUUUCCUGUUCCUCUUGAACGUGAUUAUGCAACAAUUUAAAACUAUAUUAAAUGUUCUUGCAGAAUAUAAAGUAAAAGUAGUAUUGUCAUGUACUUUGGUUUAACCUUCAGUGUAAUAUUUGAUUUUCGUGUACUGUGUAUGAAAGCUGCAUUUGUACUGACUGAUUAUAAUUUGCUUUGCUUCUCAUCGCGACUGAUAAUUUUCUGAAAUACUCACUCUAUUUUAAUCAAGGUGUUGCAGGUGUUAUCACUGUAGGAGGUAAGGUUUGCAGCCGAAAUAUAUAACUUAUUGCGUCCAGACAAUCGAGAAAUAUAGUACAAUAAAUUUCUUUUUCUCUUUCAUUAACCUGCAGCAGAGGAUUUGGCUAAUAUUUUGCAUCUUAUCUCGAUGACUAGUUGAUCUAAUAUAGAAUAGCCUCUCUGUCUGUAACAUGUACUUGUUUGAGUUGCCAUUCGUAGGGUCUGCUAUCGGUGAUAUAAUAAAAUGACCUAUUUGCUUGUAGUUUCAUGCAAGGUUUUGUGAAGUUCUUUUGAUAAUUUUUCUUGCUAAAUGGAAAGGUUCAUUUUUUUUCAAUGACUGAACAAAAACUUGACCACCGGUACAUGGCCAGCUAGGGACUUUAGAUAGUGCUCACAUGCACUUCUAGUCCUUUACUGUUUGGACUCUACGAUAUUACUCAACUUUCCUAAGCAUGUCUAACAGACCCAGAUUUAUUGUUUAACUAACCUGGAAAGUGAAACACAAACUAAAAGGACUCUGAAUAAGCAUAGCUCAUAGCUCAACUCUAAUUUUUGUUGUGCCAAUCAUGAGAUAUCUGCAUAGAGUUCUCAGGCAGUCUUACUUCCCUUAGCUUUUGGUCAUUCCGAAGUUUCCUUACGACCUUCCUUCCAAUUUCUGAAAUUGUGUGCACUUAGUUUCUUUCUGCAUGAAUCCUCUACAGUACAUGUACAUGUCAAUUGACUUAAUUUCCUCUUCAGGUUGGCAACGUUGCUACAAGGCUGGACAAGUCACCUAGUGAAAUCAUUUGCUUCACCUGUUCCGAAGACCAUACAAGUUUUUUUUUUACUUUAUAUUGUAUUGACCUGAAAGGCUACAAAGUACAUCUGAUAAAUUAGGAUGAACUUUUCAUAUGUAGCUAGUAUGUGGCACAUAUCUUACUACAAAGUAAUAUACAAAUGUGAAGCACAUAUGUUGAAUGUUCUAUUUUUGGGUAUGAAUGGAUUGCAAUGCUGAGUUGAGAUAUUGGUUUAUGUCUGUUUUAAUGUAGAAAAUGCCCCUAUUUAGC